rnacentral:tRNA from 1 species
AGACAAAACUGAUUAUGAUGUUUGAGUUAUUUAUUCUUAAGCCAUAAUCCUGUCACCUUAGGUCGAUCGGUACCUCAAUUUAAUAUCCAAAUAAACGAAGUAAUUUAUUACUUUUACACUGGAAAUUAACUUCAGCUCCAAAACUUUGUCUAGGUCACACCCAGCAAUGGCACUCCUGGGCCAUUAGCUCAGGUGGUUAGAGCGCACCCCUGAUAAGGGUGAGGUCCCUGGUUCAAGUCCAGGAUGGCCCAUUCGGUGUUGGGGGGUAUAGCUCAGUUGGUAGAGCGCCUGCUUUGCGAGCAGGAUGUCAGCGGUUCGAGUCCGCUUACCUCCACUGAUCCACUUCCUGAUAACGAAAUUAAAGGAGUUCCUUUUUCGUUAAUGUGAUUUAGACGUUGUUUGAUCUGAAUGACCCUAGCUUCCUCUCAUUCCAAAAUUUCUGAAUUUUUUAGAAAAUAGGUUGAAAAGAAGCUGGGCUCACUGAGACUUUUAGUUUCAGAUGUGUUCAGUAGAACCUUGACAACUGCAUAGGUGAGUCUGGAAAGAAUAAAGCAUCUCAUGGAUGCAUUUUUGACAUGUUUAGUUUCUCUUAAAACUAGGAAUAUUAAAUUAAAGUUGAAAAUGAUUAAAUUCUUGAGCAAGAGCCGAGACUCUAUAGUGUUCUAUCUUUAAAUAGAAUAUUUGACAUUUAAUUUUUAAUAUUAAAUAGAUAUUUUUCUAUCUAUAUUAUUUUUUAAAUUAAAUAAAAACUAUAGGGCAUAAAU